UACGGAGGGUGCAAGCGUUGCUCGGAAUUAUUGGGCGUAAAGGGCAGGUAGGUGGUCUCAUUUGUCAGGGGUGAAAGCCUUGGGCUUAACUCAAGAAGUGCCCCUGAAACGGUGAGACUGGAGUUCUGGAGAGGGUCGUGGAAUUCCCGGUGUAGCGGUGAAAUGCGUAGAGAUCGGAAAGAACACCAACGGCGAAAGCACUCUGCUGGGCCGACACUGACACUGAGAGACGAAAGCUAGGGGAGCGAAUGGG
rnacentral:rRNA from 1 species